GUCAGUGCUAUUUACAGCGAGGGUCCACCCGUUCCCAUCCCGAACACGGAAGUUAAGCUCGUCUGUGCCAACGAUACUUAGUGGGAAGCCGCUUGGGAAAAUAGGUCAGUGCUGACA
rnacentral:rRNA from 1 species